rnacentral:lncRNA from 1 species
CAAGAAAUAAUUCUGAGUGAGUCCAUAGAGUAAAGUGAAAGCAAGUUCAUUAAGAAAGUAAAGAGAUAAAGAAUAGCCACUACAUAGGCAGAGCAGCCCUGAGGGCUGCUGGUUGCCCACUUUUAUGGUUAUUUCUUGAGCAUAUGCUAAACAAGGUGAGAGACAGGACUAGCUGGAUUUCCUGGGCCGACUAAGAAUCCCUAAGCCUAGCUGGGAAGGUGACCACAUCCACCUUUAAACACGAGGCUUGCAACUUAGCUCACACCUGACCAAUCAGAGAGCUCACUAAAAUGCUAAUUAGGCAAAAACAGGAGGUAAAGAAAUAGCCAAUCAUCUAUUGCCUGAGAGCACAGCAGGAGGGGCAAGGAUGGGGAUAUAAACCCAGGCAUUUGAGCCAGCAACAGCAACCCCUUUGGGUCCCCUCCCUUUGUAUGGGAGCUCUGUUUUCACUCUACUUCAUUCUAUUAAAUCUUGCAACUGCACUCUUCUGGUCUGUGUUUGUUAUGGCUGGAGCUGAGCUUUCGCUCGCCAUCCACCACUGUUGUUUGCCGCUGUCACAGACCCGCCACUGACUUCCAUCCCUCCGGAUCCAGCAGGGUGUCCGCUGUGCUCCUGAUCCAGCGAGGCGCCCAUUGCCACUCCCGAUGGGGCUAAAGGCUUGCCAUUGUUCCUGCAUGGCUGAGUGCCUGGGUUUGUCCUAAUCGAGCCGAACAGUAGUCACUGGGUUCCACAGUUCUCUUCUGUGACCCACGGCUUCUAAUAGAGCUGUAACACUCACCACAUGGCCCAAGAUUCCAUUCCUUGGCAUCCGUGAGGCCAAGAACCUCAUGUCAGAGAACACGAGGCUUGCCACCAUCUUUGAAGCGGCCCGCUGCCAUUUUGGAAGCGCCCAUCACCAUCUUAGGAGCUCUGGAAGCAAGGACCCCCCGGUAACGAAGAGUUGGUCGAAUCCAAAGAUGGGGAGCCUGUGGAUACUGAAGGCCAACUGUACUACAGAAAUGAACAAGUUGAUCUGGUCUUGAGGGAGGAGGAGGCACAGGAACACAGUAAAGGAACCUAUCUGAGGAGCUGCAGACAUGAACCAACAAAGCCAGAAGAGCCUGAAGCAAUACUGCAAGUGGGUGCUUUGGUACUGCUUUGAAGCAUCUUUCCAGACUCUGCAGUAGCCAAGGCCUGUGACUCCAGUCCCUGAGAAAGUACCAUCAGGAGCAAUACGAGUCCUGUCCAUCUCUGAAAACAUGCUGCUGAUGUUGGAUUAAUAGUUAGACAAACAACUAAGAAGAUCAGAAGUAACAUGCUACUUUGGGUGUUGCAAAAUGACUGGACGCUACCUGUCAUCAAACCAUAGUUUACUCUCCACUUCAACAUAAAUCAAUAGCCUGCUUUUACCUCAAUGAUCAGUUGCUGCAGGGGAAAAAAGUAAGCUUCAAUUUAGACGCUGUCAAAUAUAUGGCCAACUUGCCACCUCUCUCUUCUCCUUGUUCCUGGAACAUGUUGCUAAUUGCUAUGGUGUUCCUGCCACACUCUGAUGUGAUUAUGGAAUCAGCCUCAGCACAAUGCUAUAGGCAGCCACUAAUAAGGGAUUGGAGUGGGGAGGCUGAUUGAAAUUGUUCCCCAAGACAGUAAGCAUAAUAUGUUCUCAUCUGCUUUGAUAGACUCUAAAUUGUAUACACAGUGUGGAUUUUGUGAUACUCAAUAAAAAGCUUCUAGGAAAGAGUCCUGAAUGGGUUGUAUAUUACCAAGACAUCACAUGUAAUACAAGAUAGUGGCAUAAACAUGUAUUGGCUCCUACUGUGGUUAGGCAGUCUUCACAGUGUAUACAGGGAAUGUGCUCGCAAUAACCCGUACCACCAGUCAACGUUUUCAAGAAUGAAAGUUCAUCCUGCUGCUUUUCAUUGCAAAGAAUAGUGAAGUUAGAUCACUGUAAUUACUAUGCCCUAUUUGUCCUCUCUCAUUUCUCUCCCCUAAACCUGGUUCCUAUCAUUGCUGUGUGGGAUCUCCAUUUAUAAGGAAGCUCAAAAUGCAAACAUUGAUGCAUUUCUUU